UUACUACUCCCUCCGUCCGAAAAUACUUGUCAUAGAAAUGAAUACAAAUGGGUGUAUCUAGAACUAAAAUACAUCUAGAUACAUCCAUUCCUUGGACAAGUAUUUUCGGACGGAGGAAGUACUUC
rnacentral:pre_miRNA from 1 species